GAGUAAAAAGUAUAUUUUUGUAUAGCUGGUUUCGGCCCGGCAGGAGGAUAGAUUUCCUUUACUUU
rnacentral:tRNA from 1 species